rnacentral:rRNA from 1 species
UACGUAGGCAGCAAGCGUUGUUCGGAAUUACUGGGCGUAAAGAGUGUGUAGGCGGUUUUCUAAGUUUGGUGUGAAAUCUCCCGGCUUAACUGGGAGGGUGCGCCGAAAACUGGAAGGCUUGAGUGCCGGAGAGGAUAGCGGAAUUCCUGGUGUAGCGGUGAAAUGCGUAGAUAUCAGGAGGAACACCUGCGGUGUAGACGGCUAUCUGGACGGCCACUGACGCUGAGACACGAAAGCGUGGGUAGCAAACAGGAUUAGAUACCCUGGUAGUCCACGCCCUAAACGAUGCAUACUUGGUGUGAGCCAUUCAUUUGGUUCGUGCCGGAGCUAACGCGUUAAGUAUGCCGCCUGGGGAGUACGGUCGCAAGGCUGAA